rnacentral:rRNA from 1 species
AACGGUAACAGGUCUUUCGGGAUGCUGACGAGUGGCGAACGGGUGAGUAAUACAUCGGAACGUGCCCAGUAAUGGGGGAUAGCUCGGCGAAAGCCGGAUUAAUACCGCAUACGCCCUGAGGGGGAAAGUGGGGGACCGCAAGGCCUCACGUUAUUGGAGCGGCCGAUGGCUGAUUAGCUAGUUGGUAGGGUAAAGGCCUACCAAGGCGACGAUCAGUAGCUGGUCUGAGAGGACGGUCAGCCACACUGGGACUGAGACACGGCCCAGACUCCUACGGGAGGCAGUAGUGGGGAAUUUUGGACAAUGGGGGAAACCCUGAUCCAGCAAUGCCGCGUGUGCGAAGAAGGCCUUCGGGUUGUAAAGCACUUUUGUCAGGGAAGAAAUCCUUUGGGCUAAUACCCUAGGGGGAUGACGGUACCUGAAGAAUAAGCACCGGCUAACUACGUGCCAGCAGCCGCGGUAAUACGUAGGGUGCAAGCGUUAAUCGGAAUUACUGGGCGUAAAGCGUGCGCAGGCGGUUGUGUAAGACAGGUGUGAAAUCCCCGGGCUUAACCUGGGAAUUGCAUUUGUGACUGCACGACUAGAGUGUGUCAGAGGGGGGUGGAAUUCCACGUGUAGCAGUGAAAUGCGUAGAUAUGUGGAGGAACACCAAUGGCGAAGG